rnacentral:lncRNA from 1 species
CUCGCAGCUCUCUCUCUCUCCCGCUCUGAUACCAGAUGUUAUGGUUGCUAGGGUUUGAGCGGGAGAGAGAGAGCUGCGAGGGCGCGAGAGAGCCGGCCGUGGGGGUCCUUUCCCACAGCCAAGCAAGAGAGAAAAGGGUUUUCCUUCUUAAUUCUUGCCUGAUUAGAUUGAUACAUCUCUCCAUAUAUAGAGAGGUUUACUUGACUCCCAAGUAAGGCUUACUUGAUCCCUAAGCAAACCCUAAGACUAACGGGCCCAGGUCCAUCACGUACUCUAACAACAUAACGAAAGUGCAUCAAGUACAAGCUUUUGAUAAUUUAUCUCAAAAACAGAUAAAUAUUUGGCAUUGCUUAACAAGGGUAGUAAAAUAUUUGAGUGAUUACUAUUUUACAGCUCCACUGGACCCUGAUGAAAAGGGAACAGCAACAGAAAGUGGCAUCUUCCUCUGUUGCCUUGAUUCCUCUCCUUGGAGGUCACAUUUGUAAUAUUGCCAUUUUAGGGCAAGGCACAGUAAGCAAGUUGCAGUGCAAUACCAUCUUUAGAUUCUUUUUCACCAAGGUCUGCAAGUGAUGUUCAAAUUUAGCUGAUGCUAUUAUUUUCAGUGCAACGCCAUCUUUAGAUUCCUUUUCGCCAAGGUCUGCAACUGAUGUUUAAAUUUAGCUGAUCCUAUUAUUUUCUCUGUACGUAUCAGUUCUCAUCAAAUGUGUGAAUAUUACUUCUUCGAAGUAUGCAUUUAUAAAGUGCAUAUAAUAGAUUCAUGCUUUCUAUCUCAUUAUAACAAAGUAUCAUCGAUUUUUUAUUAAAGAAAGACAUACUAUUGACUUUAUUCACUUUCUACAAGAACAACAACAACAACAAAGCCUUUCAGUCCCAAACAAGUUGGGAUAGGCUAGAGUUGAAACCCAUAAGAUCUCAAAACCUAGUCAUGGUUCUGGAACGUGGAUAGCCAACUUCCAUGCACCCCUGUCCACGGCUAGUUCGUUGGUGAUAUUCUAGUGCUUCAGAUCUCUCUUUACGGAUCCUUCCAUGUCAUGUUUGGUCUACUCCGACCUCUCUUGCAUUAUCAGCCACGGCUUAAUCUUCCGCAGGGGCCUGCAUUGUAUGCCCAAAUCAUCUCAAUGUUGGACAAGACUCUCUUCAAUUGGUGCUACCUCAACUUUAUGACGUAAUCAUCAUUCCGGACCCGAUCCUUUCUUGUGUGGCCACAUGUCCAUCUCGGUAUGCGCAUCUCUGCUACACCUAACUGUGGACAUGUCCCCUUUUAGUUGGCCAACAUUUUGUGCCAUACAACACCGCAAGUCGAAGUGACGUCCUAUCUAACCUACCUUUUAGCUUCUGUGGCACUCCUUCCCUUUAUUAACUUUCUCUUUAUGAUUAAUACAGUGUAAUCUUACAAAUGAGGUACUAGUCGCUAAUCACACUAGACUACCUAAACUUUUAUGGUUUUGACAAAUAAACCAGGAGAUCAAAGAUAGACUUCUCCUUAUAAUUAAUAAAUGUUCAAAAUAUCGGCCAGUUAAUCGGCAUAUCAGACAGUUAUCAUGGCUUGACCACCUGCUGAUACGAAAACCACCUAUUUGUGGCAUUAACGGGUGGCCAAUUUAUCUGACUGAAAAACUGAUUAAUUGGUUGUCAGACCAAAUUAUCGGUUGGGCCGAUUAACUGCCUAGGCAAUUUGGGGCCACCUUCUCCCACAGCCACCCAUGCAUUAGGUUAGACAGUGGGCUCCCGCUCAUUGUCCUUUUCCUCACAGUCCUGGAGGAGUAGCCGCCGGCACUGUCCCCUCCCCGAGCAGCCACCGGCGACGUCCUUCACAAAGUAGCAGUAGCAACUACCUUAGCUGAUAAACAUCUGACUAGCCCACAGCUAGCCCAGCUGGAGGCGGAUUGUUGUUUUUGGACGAGGCAACACAUAAACCAAAGUAGAUUCUGGAACCAUCCAAAUCCCACUACCUCACUCUGUUUGCUGCCUCGUCCAAACAACAAGAAUGUUUUUGUUACCACUUUGUAGAAAAAAAAGGGAAAAGGUUGCCUCCCUUGUUACAUUACGGUGUACUAUAGCAUAUCUAUCCAUUUAUUACAUUGCAUGUUGCUAUGUAGCCUAGGGUAUAUAGAUAUGGACAGGGGUGCGUGGAAGCUUGCUAUCCAUGUGCCAGAACCAUGAAUUGGUCGCGAGAUCUUAUGGGUUUCACCUCUAGCCUACCGCAACUUGUUUGGGACUAAAGGCUUUGUUGUUGUUGUUGUAUGUGUUGGAUAAAUUAAAGUUUAAUAAGGAAAAGUAUUAACUCUACAUACACCCUUGUCAAAAUAUCAUGUGCUGAUGAGAGUUUGCUGGAAAUUCUCGUUUUCAAUUAACCAAGAGGUCUGUAAACAAUCUGAAAUAAAAUGGCAAAUGUUGAAGGUGGUAUUUUCUAUGUCAGAUACAAAUCAAUCAAUUUGCAAGAAACAGAAAAGACAAUACUUCGCCAAAUAGUGGAAACACAAUUCAGUGAUUGUUUGUCUUUCAUGUGUCUAGUGACCGCAGUUUGGUCAAAUCCCAAAAACUUUGCAGAGAUGUAGCCCUAUGUCUAAUUAUUAUUUGGAACUUCCAAAGACUUAUAUGCAUGAUUUUGACGGGAUUUACACCAAUUUGAAGUUUCACAAGAUACAGUACCUUCCGUUUGUAGAAUCUGCAAUGUACUUCAUAGCUGACAUAGGUUUUGCAUUAGCAACCUACCAACUAUCCAACAAAUAAAUUUUGUAUUGAGUAGAAGAAAGGUGCUUAGAACGACAUAGAUGAUCAAGAGAAUUGUUUUAGUGUUCAAAACUAGAAUAGCUAUAAGCAGGUUUCUUCCACAUUGAAUGAUUAGUAAUUGAUUAGGGAAUAUAACCCUGAGGCUAUAAAUCUGCUGAGAAGAGACGUAAUAAUCUAGCUACCCCUGUGUACUAAGACUGAAUGUCACUCAUGUUUUUAAAACAUUAGAAGAAGGAUGGUGCAAUGGUUCAAUGUGACUAGUUGAUCGAAUGGUUGGUAAACCCAAUAGUAAGCAAACGGAACUAUCUUUAGUACUUGGUAGUCCUCUCAUAUAUAUCACAUAAAAAAGGAAGAACAUGUGUAUCGUACCGAAGCAACCGCAGCAGGGAAGAGGAGAAAAUAAACAACAUUUCACUCUUUUAAUUGCAUACCAGCUUACAUGGUGAAAUAAAAUUUAGAAAGCUGCUCUAACAAUCAGCAAUCUCCAAACAAGACGAACAAACAUCCAACUCAUCUUAGCAAACGGGUUAGUAGAAUUCUAAGCAUCACAUAUAUACCAAACGCAAUCCCUUACAUCCAGCACAAACGUCAAAUCAUUUUUUACACAGUAUCAUCAACCCACAAGACCCACAAGGGAACCAAGUCGGCACCAACAAGUAGCAACCCACCGAUGCCCAACCAGCCAAACCCCGCAAGGAAGGACCCGACCAAUACAUACAUACCACAAGUCCAAAACCCCAGUGCGCGCACACACACAGCGCGACUGAACAUUAAUCCACUCUACGGUGACAUCAGUUUUUUUUUAGUAACUACCAUGACAUCAGUUAUGUUUAAUAAAAGCGGGGAGGACUAGUGGGUCACCAGGAGGAAGCAGACGGCGAUGAAGAUGACGACGCCGAGAGCGAGGGGGUCGGAGCCAGGAGGUGGCGGCUGACGACCGCGAGACUGCUGCUGGGAUAGUGAUGGCGACGGCGUAGGCAGGCGAAGGCGCGGCGUGGACUCGGCGGUGACGUCUGACAUCGGAAGAGGAUGGUUCGCGAUCUCAGAUUAGGGUUCUGGUCUCGGCGAUGGGCAAACCGGGCAUGAGGAACAGCCAAAUCACUGUUUUGACUCAAUCUUUGUCAGAACUCGACAUGAAAGUAAUUUAGGAUCUGAUCUUUUUGACAUGCCAUAGUGUGUCGUAUUAUUUUCCAACAUAAAAAUGUUGAGCUAGAUAGUGUCCACUCCAAGGCGAGAAACGUCGAACUAAAUCUCGUUUAUGAAAACGCUAGUAACUAUGGCGUUUCUGUGUAGGACAGCAACGCCAAAGACGGGCUAUGGCGUUGUCAAAAGAGUCGGAUCAUUAAAUACUUCCACGUCAAGUCCAGUUUAUGACAAAGAUCGUUGAGAAGGUUAGAAUAGUGAUUUCGUCCGAACAAGAGAGGGACGGAG